AUGGCUGUCGUCAGCUCGUGUCGUGAGAUGUUGGGUUAAGUCCCGCAACGAGCGCAACCCUCAUCUCCAGUUACCAGCGGGUUAUGCCGGGGACUCUGGAGGGACUGCCGGUGCCAAACCGGAGGAAGGUGGGGACGACGUCAAGUCAUCAUGGCUCUUACGUCCAGGGCUACACACGUGCUACAAUGGCCGAGACAGAGGGUCGCGAACCCGCGAGGGGGAGCCAAUCCCCAAACUCGGCCUCAGUUCGGAUUGUAGUCUGCAACUCGACCACAUGAAGCUGGAAUCGCUAGUAAUCGUGGAUCAGCUACGCCACGGUGAAUACGUUCCCGGGCCUUGUACACACCGCCCGUCACGCCAUGGAAGCUGUGAGCGCCCGAAGUCGGUGCUGGAACCCGCAAGGGGCCAAGCCGCCUAAGGCGAGCGCAGUGACUGGGGCGAAGUCGUAACAAGGUAGCCGUAGGGGAACCUGCGGCUGGAUCACCUCCUUAACGGAGCAGCGAGUAGGCUGGCUCAACGCGCAAGCCGCGAGCCGGUACGAAAGCGCUACCGGAAAGUCGCUCGCUUCCACACCCGAUCUCACGUUCAAUUUUUUCUGGCCUGUGCUCACGCAGCAAGGGAGGCCGCUGCGCGCAUGGGCUUUGUUGGUCUCCGUGGCUCAGGAUUGUUCAAAGCCCGGAGACCUUCGAACAGGAGUUGUCUGGCGGGAGCUCCGCAAAAACACCGGAGCGACCGCGCACGACAUACGCUUUUUGACAAUGGAUAUGGGUAGUGUUCGUGGGAAACGAAUCAAUACUAGUGACACAAUUUCAUUGUAUCACUCGAGUAGAUCGCGCGUGCUCUGUUUGACGGUUUUGUAGUCAAGCGAGCGAAAGCAAGUGGAGGAUGCCUGGGCACACGAAGGCGAUGAAGGCCGCGGUAAGCUGCGAUAAGCUUGGGGGAGCGGCACACACGCGAUGAUCCCAAGAUGGCCGAAUGGGGAAACCCGG
rnacentral:sRNA from 1 species